rnacentral:rRNA from 1 species
AGAGUUUGAUCCUGGCUCAGAUUGAACGCUGGCGGCAGGCUUAACACAUGCAAGUCGAGCGGAGAGAGGUAGCUUGCUACUGAUCUUAGCGGCGGACGGGUGAGUAAUGCUUAAGAAUCUGCCUAUUAGUGGGGGACAACAUCUCAAAAGGGAUGCUAAUACCGCAUACUUCCUACGGGAGAAAGCAGGAGAUCUUCGGACCUUGCGCUAAUAGAUGAGCCUAAGUCGGAUUAUCUAGUUGGUGGGGUAAAGGCCUACCAAGGCGACGAUCUGUAGCGGGUCUGAGAGGAUGAUCCGCCACACUGGGACUGAGACACGGCCCAUACUCCUACGGGAGGCAGCAGUGGGGAAUAUUGGACAAUGGGGGGAACCCUGAUCCAGCCAUGCCGCGUGUGUGAAGAACGCCUUAUGGUUGUAAAGCACUUUAAGCGAAGAGGAGGCUACUUUAGUUAAUACCUAGAGAUAGUGGACCUUACUCGCAGAAUAAGCACCUAGCUAACUCUGUGCCAGCAGCCGCGGUAAUACAGAGGGUGCAAGCGUUAAUCUGAUUUACUGGGCGUAAAGCGCGCGUAGGCGGCUAAUUAAGUCAAAUGUGAAAUCCCCUAGCUUAACUUGUGAAUUGCAUUCACAUACUGGUUAGCUACAGUGUGAGAGAGGAUGGAAGAAUUCCAGGUGUAGCGAUGAAAUGCAUAUAGAUCUGGACGAAUACCGAUGGCGAAGGCAGCCAUCUGGACUAACACUGACACUCACGAGCGAAAGCAUGGCGAGCAGACAGGAUUACAUACCCUGUCUAUGCAUGACAUAAUCGAUGUCUACUAGUCCGUUGUGGACUGUGAUGCUUUCGUAGCUCAGCUAACGCGAUAAGUAGACUGCAUGGGGAGUACGGUCGCAUGACUAAAACUCAAAUGAAUUGACGGGGGCCCGCACAAGCGGUGGAGCAUGUGGUGUAAUUCGAUGCAACGCGAAGAACCUUACCUGGCCUUGACAUAGUAAGUACUUUCCUGAGAUGGAAUGGUGCCUUCGGGAACUUACAUACAGGUGAUGCAUGGCUGUCGUCAGCUCGUGUCGUGAGAUGUUGGGUUAAGUCCCGCAACGAGCGCAACCCUUUUCCUUAUUCGCCAGCGAGUAAUGUCGGGAACUUUAAGGAUACUGCCAGUGACAAACUGGAGGAAGGCGGGGACGACGUCAAGUCAUCAUGGCCCUUACGGCCAGGGCUACACACGUGAUACAAUGGUCGGUACAAAGGGUUGCUACACAGCGAUGUGAUGCUAAUCUCAAAAAGCCGAUCGUAGUCCGGAUUGGAGUCUGCAACUCGACUCCAUGAAGUCGGAAUCGCUAGUAAUCGCGGAUCAGAAUGCCGCGGUGAAUACGUUCCCGGGCCUUGUACACACCGCCCGUCACACCAUGGGAGCGGGUUCUGCCAGAAGUAGGUAGCCUAACCGUAAGGAGGGCGCUUACCACGGCAGGGUUCGUGACUGGGGUGAAGUCGUAACAAGGUAACC